GAUAAACGCUAGCGGCAGGCUUAACACAUGCAAGUCGAGGGGCAGCAUAGAUUGUAGCAAUACAAUUGGUGGCGACCGGCGCACGGGUGCGUAACGCGUAUGCAACCUACCCGUCACAGGGGGAUAUUCCGGAGAAGUCUGGUCUAAUACCCCAUAACAUAUGGAUCGGCAUCGGUUCAUGUUGAAAUUUUCGGAGGUGACGGAUGGGCAUGCGUAGCAUUAGCUUGUUGGUGAGGUAACGGCUCACCAAGGCGACGAUGCUUAGGGGGACUGAGAGGUGUUCCCCCCACACGGGAACUGAGACACGGACCAGACUCCUACGGGAGGCAGCAGUGAGGAAUAUUGGUCAAUGGGCGCAAGCCUGAACCAGCCAUGCCGCGUGCAGGAUGACGGCUCUAUGAGUUGUAAACUGCUUUUGUACGAGGGUAAAGUGGGUUACGUGUAACCUUUUGAAAGUAUCGUACGAAUAAGGAUCGGCUAACUCCGUGCCAGCAGCCGCGGUAA
rnacentral:rRNA from 1 species